ACUCGAGUGGCGAACGGGUGAGUAACACGUGGGUGAUCUGCCCUGCACUUCGGGAUAAGCUUGGGAAACUGGGUCUAAUACCGGAUAGGAGCCAUCUUUAGUGUGGUGGUUGGAAAGUUUUUCGGUGUAGGAUGAGCUCGCGGCCUAUCAGCUUGUUGGUGGGGUAAUGGCCUACCAAGGCGGCGACGGGUAGCCGGACUGAGAGGUUGGUCGGCCACAUUGGGACUGAGAUACGGCCCAG
rnacentral:rRNA from 1 species